rnacentral:lncRNA from 1 species
AUGAUUUUCCCUUUGUAUCUUACUGGAGGUGGACAGUUGCUGACUGUUUGCAGUAGGAGGGGCCUCCUCCACCUCGGAGGGGUCCUACUCUCAAGCACCCCAUGUUUGGAGAGCUCUAAUCCAGCUUUCCAGUCUGGUUAGUGCUGCUCAGUCUCAGCAGCCAGGUGGCCCAUUCACGCUGGAGGCCACCACAGGGGGGUCGAGGGCAUACAGAAACGGCCGGCCAGCCACAAAGAGCUGGACGUCCAAUCGCUGCUACUGAAAAGAUUGGCGCCAAACCCCAGAGGCUCACAAAGAGCAGCCAGUGCAGGAGCGCUGAUCUAAGACCAGAGAUUUCUGCCUAGUUAUGAUGAUCAACCAUCAUAAGAGCUGGUCUGAGAGCAGCGCAGUCCCCCUGAGGGAGAUGCUUUGUUCCAGAUGGAGGCCCCUCGAAUAGCAAACGCCCCCAAAAUAUACACUCCCACGUCACAUUCGGACUGUUCUCUGAAACUUCUUCAUCUCUGAGCGAGCGGCCCUGCCCACUUCCCUCAAAACACAAGAGAGCUUCCCGCCAUUCUCAACACUGUCUGUUCUCGGUCUUUUACUUACACACACGCACACAAAUACCAUCAACAUACUGUACUACAGUGAUAUUAUACAGUAUAGUAAUCAACCCUGCCCUGAAGCACUAACAAAAAGUUUUCCACUACAGCAACUGACGGAGUGAUACACUAAGUCUGAAGUUGUGCUUCUUAUUCUUGUGAUGGAGGUACAAGAAGAUGGCUAUUGAUUGUAUACAGUGGUAUGCAAAAGUCUGGGCAUCCCUGGUCACCAUUUCAUUCUCAGAUUACAGAAGUAGAAAGUAGAAAAGUAACUGGGGUCUGAUUCACUAAAAAAAGGUCUAAAGAAAGAACUAUGUCUUAGUUGUUUUUAGAAGCUAAGGUACACUAUCUUAUCUAAAAUAUAAUUCUCCUCCUUUCCAAUCCCAGGAGAAAGAGCAGGAAGAAUAGAGAAAAGGAACAGUAAUUAGAGAAAUGAACCAGCUGAUCCUUUUUAAUAGGGUGGUGACUACUGAUGAACUGAGCCAAUCACAAUGCUCAAUUUCAGCUCACCCUACUACUACCCCAGCCAAUCGUAGCUGCUGCAUAUGGCCAUACUUUUG